GCCCAAGGCCCGGUGGUGAGGGGGUUGCCGCGCACGCGCAGGCAAAGCCGGCGUAUUUCUUGGUGCCGCCCCGGCAAAGGCCGCGUAGAGUGGAGCUGCUGCCGGAGAUGCCUAACGGUGUGUUCUGAGGAGCGGCCAGCGGCGCGAUGGAGCGGGCCAGGGACCGUUUACACCUGAGACGGACCACAGAACAGCACGUACCAGAGGUAGAAGUCCAAGUCAAACGGAGAAGAACAGCCUCACUGAGCAACCAGGAGUGUCACCUGUAUCCAAGGCGAUCUCAGCAGCAGCAGCAAGUACCUGUGGUGGAUUUCCAGGCGGAACUGAGACAGGCAUUCUUAGCUGAGACACCAAGAGGUGGUUAAAGAAGUAUUGGAACACCCAGGUAGCUGAUUCCAAGAGAGAAAACAAAAUAAAACAGGCUCCAUCUACUAUUCGAAGCUUCCGCCCCAGCUUGCAUUGUUUGUAGGAGAACGUGCAUCAUACCUUUAUCUGUAGCCUUCCCUUAGGUCUUAAGGAUCCUGAAACUUGCCUGUGGACAUUGGAUUUGGUGGAGCAGCA